CGUUGUGCUUCGUGUUAUUUCUUCACAAAGAGCAGGCUUUUUGUUUGCAGUGCUGUUGUUGUACUCUUUGUUUGUAGUGUUUACAUUCCGAUAAAGGGCCGAAGCUGAGUGCAGGGCAGAGACCCAGCUGUACACUCCGGCUGAGUCUGGGAUUGUUAUCCUGGGAUAUGUCUGUGCCAAGGGACAAAUAGGAAUAACACUCGGUACAUUCAGGCAGUCAGCUGACUUCACGGUAUACUGAUCGACUGAAGCAACUCCAGAUCAUGACCCUCAUCUCCAGAGGCUUCUUGUACAGUGACCACUAUGUCUGAUGAUGAGUUCAUCACUUUCUGCACUUCCCCUGAUGCCUCAUCACUCUGGACUUAUCAGACCGCAUGACCUUUUUCCAUUGCUCCAGAGUCCAAUCUUUUAUGCUCCCUAGCAAAUUGAAGCCUUUUCUCCUGAUUAGUCUCGCUAACAAGUGGCCACACAGCUGUUUUAAUCCCAAUCCUUCAGCUUGUGCAUGUGGAAAUGCUCCUAGUUUCACGAUGACACGCAGCCAUGAGUUUGACUGUGUGUUCUUUUCACGAAUUGAUUUCGCCAAGCGUUCAAGUCCUCUCCGAUCAUAUUCGGCUGGGUGACCAGUUUUACAGAGAAGCCAUCGAGCACUGUCGCAGCUAUAAUGCUCGUCUGUGUGCCGAGCGCAGCGUCCGCCUGCCCUUCCUCGAUUCUCAAACCGGUGUCGCCCAGAACAACUGCUACAUCUGGAUGGAACGUCAUCAUCGUGGACCAGGUUUGGCAGCUGGCCAGAUGUAUACAUACCCUGCCCGAUGCUGGAGAAAGAAGAGGAGGUUACACACUUCCAUGGAUUCAAGCCUUCACCUCUACGGUCUAAAUAUAGAUAACGGCCUGACGGCUAAAGAUACUUUGCCUACACCAAGCACUACGCUGGAGGCUUUGCUGAGAGGGGACAGCUUGGACAAGAGGAACAGCACCAGAGACGAGGACCUGCUGGAGAUUCAGAGAGUUUUGGAGGCUGACGCCAACGAAGAUGGUUACCAUGACGAUGAAGACUUUGAAGUGGACAUACCAAAAAGGAAACACCGGGGAAAAGGCAGAGGUCGAGGCUCAGGACGCCGGAGGACAGACCAUGAUGACCAAGAUAAGCCAUAUAUCUGUGAAAACAGAUACAAACAAAAGCAUAACUCAAAAACUGCAGCUUCAGUCUGUGGGAAACGCUACAGGAAUCGCACUGGCUUAAGCUACCACUAUGGCCAUAGCCACAUUGCAGAUAAGGAGGGACCUCAAGCCAGAGACCCAGAGCCAUCACAGUCUCCAGCCAUCAAUCACCGUCCUCACAGUCGCAAACAUCAGAAGAGUCCAGAUGAAGCUCAUACGCUGAACAAUUUCUGCAAAGUCUGUCAAGUACAUUCAGACUCCAAACUGAAAGAUGACAAAUGCUCCAAGUGCAUUCUCUUAGGUGGACCUGAUGAAGCGAAGGAGGAGAAGCCUUUCACUGGAGCAGAGGAGCUGUUUGGUACGAGCUCCGAGAGCGACACUUCUACAUUUCAUGGCUUUGAGGAAGAUGAGCUGGAAGAGCCUCUGUCCAACAGCGGUGAGGCCUCUCCAAAGGGCAGAUAGAGAACAGUUUUUAAAAGACAUGCCGUUCCUUUAACACAGCGCAUCCCCCUGCAAAAAUUCUGCUGCUUCUUUUUAGAGUUUUUGUUUUUCCCCUUUCCCUUUUAUUAGAAGCACAAGUCAUUGUAUCAGAAGAUCAUGUAUGAAAAGGUUUAUCUUCGUUUUAAUGAGUUGUGUAUAUUAUUAUUUAUACAUUAAGAGCAAAUAGGAAACCCCCCCCCCCCUUUUUUUAAAGAACAUUUUCUAUUGUUUUUUCCCUUGAGGAGAAACAGUGGUAUAUUAUAAGGGCCAUACUGGACAGCGAUUAAUUGCAGAUUUAUUCCUGGAGUCAUUUUUGGAGACUGAAGGGGGGGAAUACCCUUAAAGGAGACCUUGCCCCCAUUAAAGAGUACAAGUCCGUGAAGAGAAGACGUGAACUUCAAGAUAAACUGCUAGCAUUUCAUGUCACUGGAAUUACCAAGGGAUGCAACUGAGAUCUCCUCAAUAAUUCAGCUGGGUACUUAGUCUUGUGUACUGUGACUGCGCCAAAAUGGAGUUGGGACAACUUUUAAGGAGAGGAGUAGCAGAUGCACCGUGUCUCAUCCUGCUUUGGCGAUUAAGGAGCUAUUGUGAAGAGAUUAUCUGAAUGAACUGUGUAAAUGUAGGAGACCUUGGCUAUGGAAAGAGAGAUGAGCUGCUCUUGGAAAGGAAAAUAAUUUCCAGAGUCUCGAUCCACCUCUUCAGUCUUCUGAAUGUCUGAGGCAGUGAAGCUGAGGAAGCCUCAGUUCAGCCAGACACACACCAGACUCGCACUCAUGGACAAGUAUUGAUUUUUUUUUUCCUUCUUUUUUUUUUUUCCCCCCCUCCUUUUUUUUUUUUUUUUUCCAAAUACCUCUUGGACUGCUGCUGCUCCCCUUGCAUUGUUCUGCAGCCUGAAUCUGAGACUGUGAUCAGAGCCAUAUGAAACUCUUCCUCCACUCUCUGUACUGUGGGAGUCUCGGACAGUCUUGGAGAGAGUCCUGUUCUAGCUUUACAGUGUCACUUGCUAAGGUUACAACCUCAAAGACUGUACUUAAUAUGUAAACUACUUGGUUUUAUUCAGGUUCUUUAUAGCCAUUGUAUGAUUUUUGUUGUAACAUAAACAUGGUGUGGUCUGUGAAAUGUCAUGUUCACACAUUUUUUUUAAGAUUACACAUGAAAGCACAAAGCCAUCCUGCUAGCUUUACUACAUCUGACUCUGGUUGGAUGACUUUCUGUUUCCACCACUCUUGUGCUUGCUCUACCAUCAUGUCAUGCAGCAAGUGUGAGAACAUGACACCAAAGCAGAGACGUUCUUUCCGUGUAACUUUCUUUCCAUGGCCCUGGUGCACAACAUUUUCUAUUCUGAAGCAACAUUGUGCUGUGUUUAAUCCAGUAAUCCAGUCUCUCAGGGGCAGACGAUGAUCCUGACAGCCAUAUUUAAAACGCACCACUGUAAAAUCCUCCAAAUGUGGAUCUUUUCAAACUGCAGUUUCGAUACCCAUUACGGAAAUGUUUGAUUUCUACUAAUGGAAAGUUUUUCUCUACAGGCUCUUCUACCCUGCUUGUAUUUGGGCCUCAAUACCUGCUCAGGCAUUUUCUUUGAAAUGUAGAACUGCUCCUUCCACGCAGCUGCUGUAAUACUGCAUAGUCAAGCUUCAUUAUGCAUUUGGUAAAGGAUGAAGCUAAAGUUAAGCUAAUCACACACUGGUAGGGUGUGACACUGAGGAACAAGCUGGAGGCUGUGACCCAGCAAAGCCGUCGACUUCCAAGGACAACCACUGAUGAAAGGCAGUUACAGGUUUGUAGCACUCAGCUACAGGUUGCUUUUUAAAAAUGAAUCAAAACGAUGUAUUUGUGUAGAAUAUUUUUCCAAUUAUUGGGAUCAUUAAAUCGGAAUGAAAUCCGCUCGAUCACAUUACAAGGAAUGAAGUAGGGGAUAAAACACAAUGUGGUGUGCAGUUCUAGGAUUAUUUUCGUCCAACGGCACAUUCCAUAGUGAUUCCUCUCGCACCACAGUCAUGUACCAAGGUGUUUUAAUUUAUUAAUGAAUGACACUUUUUUGCACUAUUUUUAAAUCCAGAUGUAGUUUGAUUACAUGUCACGGAUCAUCCGUGAAACAAAUUAGUUCCUGCUCUCACUCAGCAACUAUAAUCGUUCCCUCAUCAGCCUCCUUUUUUCUUUCUUUUGAAUUUAAUAAUGAGGAAAAAAACCCACGGUGAAACAGGAAAGCGCAGACUUGUUCGACGCAACUUUUCCCGCGACGCAAAAUUCACUGACCGUUACAAAGCUCUGAUGCUUGACUCAUUCUGUAAACGUUACUUAAAGGAGCGCGCCACCCUUCCCAGAAGCCUCUGCGCAAAGUAACGCCUCGCCAUUUUCACAUCUGUAGAUAUUUCAAAAACAAUCUUAAGCCAUAGAUCGUAAAUUCUCAUCUCAUUAUCUGUAGCCGCUUUAUCUUGUUCGACAAGGUCGCAGGCAAGCUGGAGCCUAUCCCAGCUGACUACGGGCGAAAGGCAGGGUACACCCUGGACAAGUCGCCAGGUCAUCACAGGGCUGACACAUAGACACAGACAACCAUCCACACUCACAUUCACACCUACGGUCAAUUUAGAGUCACCAGUUAACCUAACCUGCAUGUCUUUGGACUGUGGGGGAAACCGGAGCACCCGGAGGAAACCCACGCGGACACGGGGAGAACAUGCAAACUCCGCAAAGAAAGGCCCUCGCCGGCCACGGGGCUCGAACCCGGACCUUCUUGCUGUGAGGCGACAGUGCUAACCACUACACCACCGUGCCGCCUAGAUCAUAAAUUGUAACGUGAAAUUUGAAGAUAUUUUACCAAAGUAGUUACAUUUGGAAUUCUUUCGACCGGGCCGUUCCGUUUUCAUAUGGUUAUUCUGUUGUAAUUGACCGGAACGGGCUUCAGACGUCUUGUGGAUGGUCACGAAGGAAAGAAAAUAUCGGGCAUGUUCUGUUCAAAUCUUUCACGAGACGCAUGGAUGAAGAAAAUGUUUGGGAUGGAAAACACUUUGAAUGGAUCAGUACCAGUGAAUUUGCAGAGGUUUUAAUGCACAGAAAGCUACCAGAAUAGCGGUCACAUGAUUUAAAAAAAAAAAAAAAACCGAACUGGAUUCUGGGGAAAGGGUGGAAUCCGCUCCUUUUCAAUUCUUCCAAAUGAAAACUUCACUAUACAAAUUUCUUUGUUAAAUAACGACCCUUUUAUUGUUUUUUAAAUUCCGUUUAUUACUACGUGAAACGUCCAUUAUGCAGAUCCGUGUGUAUGAGCCGUUACUCUAGAAUCGGUCACAGUAUAUAUGAGAACUAGUGCAGUGAUCUAAACGUGUCGUUUAUGUUACAGCUGGACAUUACUGUCGGAGCUGCUAUAAAGAAAACGCAUCCACAAAUUCUGAUUUGAGAAAUGAACAGUGCUGUGGUAUAAAAUCAGACGAUGCAUGUAAUAAUGCUGAAAUGGCAUUACAUCCGCAUCCAUGAAUCCCAGUUCGUAGUUUUUGAUCAUUGGGGGGGGAUUCCUUAUUUAUUUUUUUAAAUUGUGCAUAAUGUCUUACUUUCCCCCCCUAUGUUUUAUAUUAAAAUAAUUGAGUAGAGCACUCGAGGAGCUCUGUGAAAAGCUGUGUGGAUUUGCAAAGGGUGUAUGACCACAUUAGAGCAUCAUCAGAAACAGAAAUGAAGUCUAAAGGUGCUGAGCUAAACCAUCAUGACGUCCAGUAUGGUGAAGAGGUUGGUACUCCAGGGUACAUGUUUAUUUCAGAAUAUGGGUGAAAAGACAUAGCUGUACCGAACAUUAUGGCACAUAGAUUUACACUUGAUGUGAAUAAUACUCCGCCUCCGUGUCGGCCAGAAGACUGUGAGUGCCAUUUAUUGUCUGUUCCUCACAUAUCUGAGCCCUGUUCCCACACUGAGGUUCUGAUCUGAGUUAGUCUCCAGUUCUAUAAGCAGUUGGUGAAUUAGGCAUAAUGCUGUGAUGUAAAUUUUAAUGCUUUUUUUUUUUCUUUUUGAGAAUAUUUUAUUUAUUUUUUAUGCAAGAAUAUUGUUGGCUUUGUCUACUGCACAUCUAGUUAGGCCUGCAAUGUUGACUUUGUGAGUUUUCGCGUUCAGAGAUAUGAAGGUUACCGAGUGAGGCACCGUGAAUGACAGAAAUGUGUACAUGACCUGCUUACAGUGACAUGGACUGGUGUGCAAAAGUGCACACACAAUAAGACACACUCAACAAACCCCCUCAGGGACCAUAACCACACAUUCAACAAGAGCAUGAGGAAUGAUGCUCUGGAAUAAGAAACAUCUUGUCUGUCAGAUUUCUUCACUCCUCCUCUCUACAGGUUUUAAGGACUGGUGUGCAUUUGCUGAUCUUCCAGGCAGUGGAUCUUGUGCACUUUUUGAACAACUAAUGCUCCUACUGAGGGGUUAUGAUUGAUUAUAAUGAUGAACUUAAGCAACUGAUCUGUCUCAUAUUUUCUGCUAAUAAGUUUGUAGUCACUUCUGUACCUCAGAAAAGUCAAUGAGCAAUAGGCCCAUGUUUUUCUGCAUUCCUGGGGUUGGAACAAGAGCCAAUUUUGAGGUGAAGGAGUUGAACUGAUUAUUUUGUUUGCAUCUGUACAUAAUAUAAUCCAAAUGAAGUCUUUGUUAGUUGUUAUUUUUAUUGUGACAAAAGGAAUUAAAGAAUGAAUUAGA